GUGGGGAAUAUUGCACAAUGGGCGCAAGCCUGAUGCAGCCAUGCCGCGUGUAUGAAGAAGGCCUUCGGGUUGUAAAGUACUUUCAGCGGGGAGGAAGGUGUUGAGGUUAAUAACCUCAGCAAUUGACGUUACCCGCAGAAGAAGCACCGGCUAACUCCGUGCCAGCAGCCGCGGUAAUACGGAGGGUGCAAGCGUUAAUCGGAAUUACUGGGCGUAAAGCGCACGCAGGCGGUCUGUCAAGUCGGAUGUGAAAUCCCCGGGCUCAACCUGGGAACUGCAUUCGAAACUGGCAGGCUAGAGUCUUGUAGAGGGGGGUAGAAUUCCAGGUGUAGCGGUGAAAUGCGUAGAGAUCUGGAGGAAUACCGGUGGCGAAGGCGGCCCCCUGGACAAAGACUGACGCUCAGGUGCGAAAGCGUGGGGAGCAA
rnacentral:rRNA from 1 species